rnacentral:tRNA from 1 species
UCCCUGAUGGCUCAGAUGGGAAAAGCAUUUGUCUACAUUGCAGAAGACCCAGGUUCUAUCCCUGGCUCGGGAA